rnacentral:rRNA from 1 species
GAUGAACGCUGGCGGCGUGCCUAAUACAUGCAAGUCGAGCGAACUGAUUAGAAGCUUGCUUCUAUGACGUUAGCGGCGGACGGGUGAGUAACACGUGGGCAACCUGCCUGUAAGACUGGGAUAACUUCGGGAAACCGAAGCUAAUACCGGAUAGGAUCUUCUCCUUCAUGGGAGAUGAUUGAAAGAUGGUUUCGGCUAUCACUUACAGAUGGGCCCGCAGUGCAUUAGCUAUUUGGUGAGGUAACGGCUCACCAAGGCAACGAUGCAUAGCCGACCUGAGAGGGUGAUCGGCCACACUGGGACUGAGACACGGCCCAGACUCCUACGGGAGGCAGCAGUAGGGAAUCUUCCGCAAUGGACGAAAGUCUGACGGAGCAACGCCGCGUGAGUGAUGAAGGCUUUCGGGUCGUAAAACUCUGUUGUUAGGGAAGAAUAAGUACAAGAGUAACUGCUUGUACCUUGACGGUACCUAACCAGAAAGCCACGGCUAACUACGUGCCAGCAGCCGCCGUAACAC